rnacentral:rRNA from 1 species
CGGACGGGUGAGUAAUGUCGGGGAAACUGCCCGAUGGAGGGGGAUAACUACUGGAAACGGUAGCUAAUACCGCAUAACGUCGCAAGACCAAAGAGGGGGACCUUCGGGCCUCUUGCCAUCGGAUGUGCCCAGAUGGGAUUAGCUAGUAGGUGGGGUAACGGCUCACCUAGGCGACGAUCCCUAGCUGGUCUGAGAGGAUGACCAGCCACACUGGAACUGAGACACGGUCCAG